rfam:TPA: Bos taurus chromosome 23, whole genome shotgun sequence.
UUAAAGGCCCUUCUUAGGGCCACCCACUGACUCUGGUAAAGAGCUG